rnacentral:rRNA from 1 species
GUGGGGAAUCUUGCGCAAUGGGCGAAAGCCUGACGCAGCCAUGCCGCGUGAAUGAUGAAGGUCUUAGGAUUGUAAAAUUCUUUCACCGGGGACGAUAAUGACGGUACCCGGAGAAGAAGCCCCGGCUAACUCCGUGCCAGCAGCCGCGGUAAUACGGAGGGGGCUAGCGUUGUUCGGAAUCACUGGGCGUAAAGCGCACGUAGGCGGCUACUCCAGUCAGAGGUGAAAGCCCGGGGCUCAACUCCGGAAUUGCCUUUGAAACUAGGUAGCUUGAACGUCGGAGAGGUAAGUGGAAUUCCGAGUGUAGAGGUGAAAUUCGUAGAUAUUCGGAAGAACACCAGUGGCGAAGGCGACUUACUGGACGACUGUUGACGCUGAGGUGCGAAAGCGUGGGGAGCAAACAGGAUUAGAAACCCCAGUAGUCC